rnacentral:rRNA from 1 species
CUCAUCGUAUUAUGGAGUCUUUUCCCCCAGAAGAACGCACUGCCAUAUUCUCGUCCUACACCACAACCCGGAUAAUUACGAGAGUGGGCAAGACUUUAUUUGAGUAUUUCUGGGCGAUAAGCCCCCCGCAGGGGGGUUUUUUAAAAUUGGUAGUGUAUAUUCCCCGGGCCUCACCUUGGGACCCCUUUUGAAACUGGCAGGUAAAUUUUUUGUGAGGGGGGGUGAAUUUCCCGGUGGUGGGGGGAAAUGGUAAGAUUUGGAGGAAUACGGGGGGGAAGGGGGGCCCCCCUGAAAAAAAACGACUCUUCAGUUCGAAAAGGUGGGGAGCAAACAGGGUUAGAAUCCCUGGUAGUCCCCCCCCUAAAAGGAGUUGGCCUUGGAAGGUUGUCCCCUUGAGGCGGGGCUUUCCGGAGCUAACGCGUAAAAUCGACCCCCCUGGGGGAGUCCGGCCCGCAAGGUUAAAACUCAAAAUUAAUUACCGGGGGGCCCGCCCAAGCGGGGGAACCAUGUGGUUUUAAUUUGAUGCAACGCGAAAGACCCUUACCUACUCCUUACACCCAGAAACUUUUCCAGAGAUGGUUUGGUCCUUCGAAAACUUGAGACAAGUGCUGCAGGCCGUCGUCAGCUCGUGUUGUGAAUGUUGGGUUAAGUCCCGCAACGAGCGCACCCUUAUCCUUUGUUGCCAGCGGUUCGGCCGGGAACUCAAAGGAGACUGCCAGUGAUAAACUGGAGGAAGGUGGGGAUGACGUCAAGUCAUCAUGGCCCUUACGAGUAGGGCUACACACGUGCUACAAUGGCGCAUACAAAGAGAAGCGACCUCGCGAGAGCAAGCGGACCUCAUAAAGUGCGUCGUAGUCCGGAUUGGAGUCUGCAACUCGACUCCAUGAAGUCGGAAUCGCUAGUAAUCGUAGAUCAGAAUGCUACGGUGAAUACGUUCCCGGGCCUUGUACACCCCGCCCGUCACACCAUGGGAGUGGGUUGCAAAAAGAAAGUAGGUAGCUAACUUCGGGAGGGCGCUUAUCUCCUUGUGUUUUGGGAUAU